CCUACGUGCGGCAGCAGUGAGGAAUAUUGGUCAAUGGACGCAAGUCUGAACCAGCCAUGCCGCGUGUAGGAAGACGGCUCUAUGAGUUGUAAACUGCUUUUGUACGAGGGUAAACGCAGAUACGCGUAUCUGUCUGACAGUAUCGUCCGAAUAAGGAUCGGCUAACUCCGUGCCAGCCACCGCGGUAAUACGGAGGAUUCAAGCGUUAUCCGGAUUUAUUGGGUUUAACGGGUGCGUAGGCGGUCGGAUAAGUUAGAGGUGAAAUCCCGAGGCUCAACUUCGGAAUUGCCUUUGAUACUGUUCGGCUAGAGAGUAGUUGCGGUAGGCGGAAUGUAUGGUGUAGCGGUGAAAUGCUUAGAGAUCAUACAGAACACCGAUUGCGAAGGCAGCUUACCAAGCUACUUCUGACGUUGAGGCACGAAAGCGUGGGGAGCAAACAGGAUUAGAUACCCGAGUAGUC
rnacentral:rRNA from 1 species